rnacentral:misc_RNA from 1 species
CCGAGUUUACAACUCCCAAACCCCUGUGAACAUACCUUAACGUUGCUUCGGCGGACAACCCUCGCCUUAAACCGCGGGGCCCCGCCAGAGGACCCAAACCCUAACCUUGUGUUUUAUUUGAACCUACAUCUCUGAGUGGAUUUUAUAAAUCAAAUCA